rnacentral:rRNA from 1 species
UUUCGCAAUGCCCGAAAGGGUGACGAAGCGACGCCGCGUGCGGGAAGAAGGCCUUCGGGUUGUAAACCGCUGUCGGGAGUUAAGAAAUGUAAGGAUGUUAAUAGCAUCUUUGCUUGACUAAGGCUCCGGAGGAAGCCACGGCUAACUCUGUGCCAGUAGCCGCGGUAAUACAGAGGCGGCAAGCGUUGUUCGGAAUUAUUGGGCGUAAAGAGCACGUAGGCGGCUAUGUAAGUCGGUUGUGAAAGCCUUCCGCUCAACGGGAGAACAGCAUCCGAUACUGCAUGGCUUGAGUGCGGGAGGGGAGAGUGGAACUUCUGGUGGAGCGGUGAAAUGCGUAGAUAUCAGAAGGAACGUCGGCGGCGAAAGCGACUCUCUGGCCUAUUACUGACACUGAGUGUGCGAAAGUUAGGGGAGCAAACGGGAUUAGAUACCCCGGUAGUCCUAACUGUAAACGAUGGGCACUAAGUAGAGGGGUUUUA